UACGUAGGUGACAAGCGUUGUCCGGAUUUACUGGGCGUAAAGAGCGCGCAGGCGGUCGAUCAAGUCGAGUGUGAAAGCCCCGGCUCAACUGGGGAGGGUCAUUCGAAACUGGUCGACUCGAAGGCAGGAGAGGGUAGUGGAAUUCCCGGUGUAGUGGUGAAAUGCGUAGAUAUCGGGAGGAACACCAGUGGCGAAGGCGACUACCUGGCCUGUUCUUGACGCUGAGGCGCGAAAGCUAGGGGAGCAAACGGG
rnacentral:rRNA from 1 species